rnacentral:rRNA from 1 species
AAGAACAUAUCUGAGAGUAACUGUUCAGGUAUUGACGGUAUUUAACCAGAAAGCCACGGCUAACUACGUGCCAGCAGCCGCGGUAAUACGUAGGUGGCAAGCGUUGUCCGGAUUUAUUGGGCGUAAAGCGAGCGCAGGCGGUUUUUAAGUUCUGAUGUGAAAGCCUUCGGCUCAACCGAAGAAGUGCAUCGGAAACUGGGAAACUUGAGUGCAGAAGAGGACAGUGGAACUCCAUGUGUAGCGGUGAAAUGCGUAGAUAUAUGGAAGAACACCAGUGGCGAAGGCGGCUGUCUGGUCUGUAACUGACGCUGAGGCUCGAAAGUAUGGGUAGCAAACAGGAUUAGAUACCCUGGUAG